CUGCUGGCCCCUUCCCUGCGGUGGGCAGAGAAUGUGCUGCCGCUUUGACCCUGCCGCCACUCCCCAAGCCAAAAGUCUCCAGGCCCCUUAGGUUUCGGUGGGUAAAGGCUGCCUUCCAACCAUCCCGGGGAGCAGGCGUCCGCAGCAGCACAUGCCCUCCACCUCUCCGUCCGGUUCAGCACCACUGUGGCUCAAACGUGUCCAUCAGGCUGGGCUGUCGCCCCCAGUGGUUUGCUCAACAUGAGUCCAAGUGUUGUGCUGAAGGCGUUUUGUAGCCCAUGUGACUGCAGUUCUCUCUGCUGACCACCUCCCGAGCCUCGUUAUCUGCCUGCAGUAAACAUUCCUUCCUGGUGCGACCGUGCUGCCUGCUUAGACGUGCAUUCAGAGACCAGGAUCCCCGUGGCGUUCUCGUUGCUCUGAGUGGCACCCCGAGCUCUGCAGUGUCACGCGGCUGUGCCCACCCGCCCACCGUCUGAGCACCUGCUCAGGGCCGGGCCUGCACGUGACUGCUGUCCGCAUACUUGAGUAUCUAAGCUCGGUGACAUCCCAAAGAGAUAGCCCUGGGCUCCCGUCUGUCAUGGGAGGACGCGUCUCACGCUCACAGUCAGUGCUGAGGGCCCGGCAAGAGGUGUGGGGGCCGCCCACCCCCCCAGGGACGAGUGUCCUCCUGGCGGGGAGGCUUCCCAGGUCUGGAGACCGGGGGGCCAUUCCCAGACAGUGAGUCAGCCCUGGAGAACCUGGCUGUGCCUGAGACCGCCCCCCUCCCCAGGGCCUCGCCGGCAUCUUCCUGCCCAGCGCCAGCCCACUUGCUGGCAGCCAGCGAGGAGGGCGUGGAGAUGCUCCGGGGACGUGCUCCGGGGAGAUGCUCCUGGGAGGUGCUCCAGGGCGUCAUGGGUGGCUCGGUGGCCAGCAGAAGGCUGACCCCACAGUCCUGGAGGCCAGAGGUCAAGAUUCGCUCCUCCCCGCCCCUCUGCAGGCCCUGGUGCUGCUAGCGGGCUGCACGCGCCAGCCGGCCGAGGCCCGUCUCCAGGGGGUCUUCCCCCGGUCUGUCCUCAUCCCCGUCUCCCUGUCCUUGCAGGGACAUGCCGACUUAGGGCCCGGGACACCCCCCCUGACACUGGCCACGUCUGCAGCAAGCCUGUUUCCAGAGCAGGUCACGCCCCGAGCUCCGGGCAGGACUGGGUGCUGGACAGACAGCCAGGCAGGUGGUGAUGAGCCCGGGGCCCUGGCCCCCUGCCCUGCCCCAUGCUGCCCCCACUGAAGGAAGGGAAGCACCGGGACCGGGGCCUGCUUCACAGCGCGCGCCCUGCGGGGAUGAAGGGGGCUGGGUCGUGCCAGGUUAGGUGCAGUUAGGUGCAGCUCCGUCUCAGGCACGGGCACGGCUCUGUGCUCCAGAAACAUCUGCAGAUAAGCCUGAGCCUCCAGAGGGCAGGGCUGUCUGUGGAGGACCCGCGG
ensembl:lncRNA